UCUGAUAACAAGAAAAACAGUGUUUGGGGAGAUAACUCUUACAAAGAAGAGUGUUCGGUUAAACAGGGUGAGUUUCAAAAGCGUAUAGACUGUAUGAUCUCAUAUACAAAAAAACUAAGCGACAUCUUUUGAAACAUUUUUACACCGCAAGAAAAAAAUUAGGCGGAAGAAAAAAAAAAAAUAAUCAGAACAAAAUCAAUAGGUCUUUCCACACGGAAAGGUGGAAAGACCUAAUAAUAA
rnacentral:lncRNA from 1 species